rnacentral:rRNA from 1 species
AUUGAACGCUGGCGGCAGGCCUAACACAUGCAAGUCGAGCGGAGCGGCGGACGGGCGAGUAAUGCCUAGGAAUCUGCCUGGUAGUGGGGGAUAAGGUCCGGACACGGGCGCUAAUCCCGCAUCAUUUCUGAUGAGCCUAGGUCGGAUUAGCUCGUUGGUGGGGUAAAGGCCUACCAAGCCGACGAGCCGUAACUGGUCUGAGAGGAUGAUCAGUCACACUGUAACUGAGACACGGUCCAGACUCCUACGGGAGGCAGCAGUGGGGAAUAUUGGACAAUGGGCGAAAGCCUGAUCCAGCCAUGCCGCGUGUGUGAAGAAGGUCUUCGGAUUGUAAAGCACUUUAAGUUGGGAGGCGUUACCAACAGAAUAAGCACCGGCUAACUUCGUGCCAGCAGCCGCGGUAAUUC